rnacentral:rRNA from 1 species
CCCUUAGAUGCUCUGGGCCGCACGCGCGCUACACUGGUCGAUGCAACGAGUUUCUUUCCUUGGCCGACAGGCCUGGGCAAUCUUUGAACAUCGAUCGUGAUCGGGAUAGAUUCUUGUAAUUUUUGAUCUUAAACGAGGAAUUCCUAGUAAACGCAAGUCAUCAGCUUGCAUUGAUUACGUCCCUGCCCUUUGUACACACCGCCCGUCGCACCUAUCGAUUGAAUGGUCCGGUGAAAUCUCCGGACUGGCGUGAGUCGGAGCAAUCUGACAAACACCGGAAAGUUGAUUAAACCUUACCAUUUAGAGGAAGGUGAAGUCGUAACA